rnacentral:rRNA from 1 species
UACGUAGGGUGCGAGCGUUGUCCGGAAUUAUUGGGCGUAAAGAGCUUGUAGGCGGUUUGUCGCGUCUGCCGUGAAAAUCCGGGGCUCAACCCCGGACUUGCGGUGGGUACGGGCAGACUAGAGUGUGGUAGGGGAGACUGGAAUUCCUGGUGUAGCGGUGAAAUGCGUAGAUAUCCGGAGGAACACCGGUGGCGAAGGCGGCAUCCUGGACCGAUAUUGACGCUGAGGAGCGAAAGCCAGGGGAGCAAACGGG